CAGACAUUUGUGUUUUAUCUAUUCAAGAUAACAUCAGGCUGCUGCUGAAAUGGACAAUAAAAAGCACACACACACACAUGCUUGCAAAUGCAGAAUGUGUAUUUUAUAAAAGUACAUAAUUAGGACGGAAAAGUUUGCACUCAUCUUAAAAUUAACUUUUCUUUUGCACGGCACAAAAACAGCCUGAGCAGUUAAAAGAGGAGAGAAGGAAGCCGGGAAGAACUACAGAAUAAAAGUGAAUGUAUUUCUUUUACAUUCUUAUAUUUACUUUCUAGAAUAUUUGUUAUGAUGUUUUAUAAUUGAUACUGUCUACUUUUUGAAAAAGGAACGCUUUUUACCAUUUACAUUUCUGCACCCUCAGGACUUGUGCCUCCCAUGAACAGGUUCCAUCAAGAUUAUGCAGUUUUGGCACAUUGUGUUCCGUGCAUAGUUCCAGCGGUGAAGAUCCGUGGCCCGGGGCCAGACAGGAACCAGGAUCUCAUCACAGGAGACGACUCCCCAGGCUGAAUUAAAGUACUCUUUAAAUUGUCUUUGUGAUUCUGUGAUUCUGUCGGCUAAAAGCUCUUCCAGGUCUCAGGUCCCACAUUGUUGCAUCACUUCUAUACAGUACGGUUGAGAGUUUUAACAGAGCAGAUUAAAACUCUGUUCACUCUAUCCAAGUUUUCAUCUAUUUAGGGGUUCUAUUUGUGUAUUACUGUGGAAACUAUGCAACCAUUCAAAUGCAUUUACCUUAAAUACAUGUUUAAAGUCUGCUAGCGACUGAUUCAAGGACAAGUGUUUUCCAGCAGUCACAGCUGCAGCAGACAUGGUUUGUAUUCCUGCUUCCAAGUUACUGUGUGUACUAACACAACAAAGCCCCAGGACAUGCGACACCAUCGUUACAAAUAAAGGAAGAUGUCUCUAUUACAUUAAAAGAUUGUAGAUAAGAUGAACACGUGUACACUCAAAAAACUGAUUCUUGGCCCUCAUAAACAUUAAACAAUAUUUUUAAGUAAAACUUAACUGAAAUAUAUAAAAUCUAAAGUGUAUUCAUUAAAACCACUUAAACACAAUGUAAAUAUGCUUCGUAUAACCUGAACAUAAACAAAUCAAGUAAACUGUACUUGAUUGGAUCACAGAAGGAGCAUCUGUGCGUGCAGGAAACACUUCACCACGUGACCUCUUGAGAGUGGACUUGUCAUUCUGACCGACAGAGCGACCGAGCGUGAAAAAGUUAUGAGGUACACCAUUCAAGCCAUAUCCACAAAGCAUCUUUCAUCCUGUGGCAACCUCUCAUUUUAGGUGGAGGAUGUCAAAUACACAGCCAACAUAACUAAGGUCGUCAGCAACAGAGGAGGAGCUGCUGGAAGGAAGAUCCGACUCCUCAUGGCUCCAACA